UACGGGGGGGGGCAAGCGUUGUUCGGAAUUACUGGGCGUAAAGGGCGUGUAGGCGGCCAACUAAGUCCGACGUGAAAUCCCCAGGCUUAACCUGGGAACUGCGUCGGAUACUGGAUGGCUUGAAUCCGGGAGAGGGAUGCGGAAUUCCAGGUGUAGCGGUGAAAUGCGUAGAUAUCUGGAGGAACACCGGUGGCGAAGGCGGCAUCCUGGACCGGCAUUGACGCUAAAGCGCGAAAGCCAGGGGAGCAAACGGG
rnacentral:rRNA from 1 species